rnacentral:lncRNA from 1 species
CGCGUCAAGGCUGAGGGUGGAAUCCGAGCUCGGGUCGCUUCCCAAGCGAGCGCUCGCCCAAUACUUGCUGUUUCUAAAGUUCUAUCCGGUGGUCACCAAAGCUGUCAGCAGUGGCAUUUUGUCAGCCCUUGGAAACCUUCUGGCCCAGAUGAUUGAGAAGAAGCAGAAAAAAGACUCUCGAAGUCUAGAAGUCAGUGGGCUUCUCAGAUAUUUAGUUUAUGGGUAAGUACCACAGAGAGCUGCCUCAUCUCUGCAGACUGAGCACAGCAGAGCUGCCUGUCAGCAUUAAGCCUUUGGGAUACUUUGUUUUAAAAACCUAGUUCUGGGGCUGGAGAGAUGGCUCAGCUAGGAGCGCUAACUGCUCUUAUAGCCAACCCAGGUUUGAUUCCCAGCUCCCAUGUAGCAGUUCACAAACAUCUGUAACCUCCAGUUCCAGGAGAUCUGAUGACCUCUUCUGACCUCAUAAGGCACCAGACACAUACUUGGUGCACGAAUAUACCUGUAAUGUAAAUAUCCAUGCACAAGAAAUAGAAAACAAAAAUUAAAAUUAAAAAAGAAAAAGGAAAAAAAAAUAAUUCUUUAAGCAGCAUCAGAGAGCAGGUAUGUAUGGUGGUGUAUAUCUUU